rnacentral:rRNA from 1 species
UACGUAGGGUGCAAGCGUUGUCCGGAAUUACUGGGCGUAAAGAGCUCGUAGGCGGUUUGUCGCGUUGUUCGUGAAAACUCACAGCUCAACUGUGGGCGUGCGGGCGAUACGGGCAGACUUGAGUACUGCAGGGGAGACUGGAAUUCCUGGUGUAGCGGUGGAAUGCGCAGAUAUCAGGAGGAACACCGGUGGCGAAGGCGGGACACUGGGCAGUAACUGACGCUGAGGAGCGAAAGCGUGGGGAGCGAACAGG